AUGCUGGAGGUAUCAGAAGUGCGAAUGCUGACAUAAGUAACGAUAAAGCGGGUGAAAAGCCCGCUCGCCGGAAGACCAAGGGUUCCUGUCCAACGUUAAUCGGGGCAGGGUGAGUCGACCCCUAAGGCGAGGCCGAAAGGCGUAGUCGAUGGGAAACAGGUUAAUAUUCCUGUACUUGGUGUUACUGCGAAGGGGGGACGGAGAAGGCUAUGUUGGCCGGGCGACGGUUGUCCCGGUUUAAGCGUGUAGGCUGGUUUUCCAGGCAAAUCCGGAAAAUCAAGGCUGAGGCGUGAUGACGAGGCACUACGGUGCUGAAGCAACAAAUGCCCUGCUUCCAGGAAAAGCCUCUAAGCAUCAGGUAACAUCAAAUCGUACCCCAAACCGACACAGGUGGUCAGGUAGAGAAUACCAAGGCGCUUGAGAGAACUCGGGUGAAGGAACUAGGCAAAAUGGUGCCGUAACUUCGGGAGAAGGCACGCUGAUAUGUAGGUGAAGCGACUUGCUCGUGGAGCUGAAAUCAGUCGAAGAUACCAGCUGGCUGCAACUGUUUAUUAAAAACACAGCACUGUGCAAACACGAAAGUGGACGUAUACGGUGUGACGCCUGCCCGGUGCCGGAAGGUUAAUUGAUGGGGUCAGCGCAAGCGAAGCUCUUGAUCGAAGCCCCGGUAAACGGCGGCCGUAACUAUAACGGUCCUAAGGUAGCGAAAUUCCUUGUCGGGUAAGUUCCGACCUGCACGAAUGGCGUAAUGAUGGCCAGGCUGUCUCCACCCGAGACUCAGUGAAAUUGAACUCGCUGUGAAGAUGCAGUGUACCCGCGGCAAGACGGAAAGACCCCGUGAACCUUUACUAUAGCUUGACACUGAACAUUGAGCCUUGAUGUGUAGGAUAGGUGGGAGGCUUAGAAGUGUGGACGCCAGUCUGCAUGGAGCCGACCUUGAAAUACCACCCUUUAAUGUUUGAUGUUCUAACGUUGACCCGUAAUCCGGGUUGCGGACAGUGUCUGGUGGGUAGUUUGACUGGGGCGGUCUCCUCCUAAAGAGUAACGGAGGAGCACGAAGGUUGGCUAAUCCUGGUCGGACAUCAGGAGGUUAGUGCAAUGGCAUAAGCCAGCUUGACUGCGAGCGUGACGGCGCGAGCAGGUGCGAAAGCAGGUCAUAGUGAUCCGGUGGUUCUGAAUGGAAGGGCCAUCGCUCAACGGAUAAAAGGUACUCCGGGGAUAACAGGCUGAUACCGCCCAAGAGUUCAUAUCGACGGCGGUGUUUGGCACCUCGAUGUCGGCUCAUCACAUCCUGGGGCUGAAGUAGGUCCCAAGGGUAUGGCUGUUCGCCAUUUAAAGUGGUACGCGAGCUGGGUUUAGAACGUCGUGAGACAGUUCGGUCCCUAUCUGCCGUGGGCGCUGGAGAACUGAGGGGGGCUGCUCCUAGUACGAGAGGACCGGAGUGGACGCAUCACUGGUGUUCGGGUUGUCAUGCCAAUGGCACUGCCCGGUAGCUAAAUGCGGAAGAGAUAAGUGCUGAAAGCAUCUAAGCACGAAACUUGCCCCGAGAUGAGUUCUCCCUGACUCCUUGAGAGUCCUGAAGGAACGUUGAAGACGACGACGUUGAUAGGCCGGGUGUGUAAGCGCAGCGAUGCGUUGAGCUAACCGGUACUAAUGAACCGUGAGGCUUAACCUUACAACGCCGAAG
rnacentral:rRNA from 1 species